AUUUCUUCUUUAAAUGGUAUCCAACCUUCUUCAUUAAAUUUCCAUUUUUUUUCUUUAACAAUUGUUUCUAUAUUGUGACUAGUAUCUCUUAUUACGACUGGAAGGUAAUCACUUCCUCCAUAUAUAUUUGCUUCUACUUCUAGGUGGCUUAGUUCCGGGGUGCCCAGAACUAGGUCUAUUGUAGAUCCUUUACCUGUUUUUGGGUCAAUUCUAUGAUUUGUUUUUUUUGAGUUAGCAAUAGCCCUUUACUUCCUAAAAUAACAAAUGUAUCCACUUUUAAGUAAAGUGUCCUUUUGGGUAAAAUAUCCUGAUUUGGAAGGUGUUUGCUGAAGACGACUUUUGAGUCCGGUUAUGUUGAUGGUACUGGCAACUCUGCGUCAGCCCUGGUUCUUCCCGAAGCUCAGAAAACUCGGAAACAUGACAGGGUGUGGACGCUAAAUCGUGCACUGACUGCAACAAAAUUUUAAGCCAUCAUGGAUCCUGAACCAGGUUGAUCAGGAAUGACAACAACCAGUUUUUAUAAGGAUGCAAAAGGAUAUAGGCAACUAGAUAUGCAUCAAUAUUUGUGCGUACGUGAUAGAGAAGAUAUUGUUGAAUAUGCUGUGGAUGAGGUGGAUGAUACUUGCUCACCAUAUGAGUCUAAGAAAGAGUUGUCUGCUAAUGGGGUGAAUUUCCUGAUGAUACACUUGUAUUAGAACUUGACUUCAGUCUCCCCACCCCAUUCUCAACCCAAACCCAAGAAGGAAUGUAGAAAAUUCUCAAGGUUGUACUGAGAACAUGUUCAUGGCAUACAAUUCCCACAUAUGAUGCCAGUGGCAGCAGUGAAAAUGAAGAGGGCAUCUCUCAUCCAGCAAAUCUGUUCAAGAGAUGGAUGACCUCUGAUGACCUCUUAGAUAUUGUUGCUCAGCAGUCCAACUUGUAUGCAGUACAACAAAAUAUAAACAAACUAUUAGCUUUAGAGAGGUCAGAUCUUCAGAAAUGCUUUGGAUUGUGAAUGACUAUUUCUGUCUGUAGAAUACCUAAUACAAGAUUGCACUGAUCAAGCUUUUUCUGUGGAAAAAAAACAGUUCAACCAUAUGCAAUGACAGGUGGGAGGAAGUAAAAGUGAAUUAACACCUCACAGAUAAAUCUCAAACAGAUUCUAAAGACAAAUUAACUAAGAUAAGGUUCUUACUCGGACACCUGAGAUCAAAAUUCAAAGAAAUCCCCAUAACAAUAUUUGUGUGUAGAUGAGCAAAUGGUACUUUUCAAGGAGAAUUCAUAUAUUCCUAAGAAACCACAUAAACGUGCAUAUAUGAUUUUUAUUUUGGCAGAUGAUAUGGGAAAGGUGUAUGAUUUCAUGCCAUGUGUUGGUAAAAUAGAGCCUUUAAAUAAUACAAAUGUUAUAGACCUGGAACCAAGUGAUAUUUCAAUGCUCCAUCUUAUGCAGAACAUGUUUUUGUAUACCU